rnacentral:lncRNA from 1 species
UAUAAUACAUGUAAUAUAUAUGUGCUGUAUAAAAUAUUAUGUUUAAGGGAAAAGUGGGUCAUUCUGGCUCCUGCAUGGAGAAAGAGUUGAAAGAAGCAUGAGAAGAAGCCAUGAGACUUGUUAGGGGCUAUCUCAGUUCCCAGGUGAGGCCAUUCAUCCCUCCACUGUGCACCCUCUGGAAAACUGAGCAAGACACAGCCUGCCAGUCACACUUGCCCAGCAGCCGACACACUCUGUGCACAUGGAGAGUUAUACAUCACAGCAAAGUGAGGACUGAACUGGAAAUGGAUGAACCUUGCCAAGUCAAUACUCUCUUUCUGCUAUAUUUGGAUGGUCUCCAACCCAAGCAUAAAUAAUUACCUUGAAUACCACCCCACCUCAGCCUCAUUCAGCUGUGUGGUUUAGCUCUGCCACAUUUUGGUAAGUAUCUUUCAACUCUAUAGCCUUUAGAGUUUGUUAUAAACACACAUAUACAUAUAUUGUAUACAUAUUCUCUUAUAUAGAGAUACUUAUAUAAGCACUAUACUUACUUAUAUAGUAUCUGAUUCUGUUUGCCUAUCCUCAACAAUUACAGCAGCUUAUGAAGAGCAAUAUAUAAGUUUUCUAUGUUUUUUUUUUUUUUUAUGAUAGGGAUGGAGUAGGUUAGUUACACAGGUAGUUGUGGAAGUCCCAGUAAGGGACCAUAGAUGGAGAGGGAAACCUAGGGGACUUUUUGAGAUCACUGUAAGUUAAUUAAUUGCUCAAGAAAGUCAUUAGAAGGAGGCAGGCAUGAGAUAUGCCUUAGGUCAUUGGGUGGGGGGUUGGGUGAGACUGGUACUCAGGGUCAGACCAAGGGCAGGAUUUUAAGGACCACCUUUCUGCUGAUUUGAAUUCAAGUUUAGUUUUGAUCAGUUUUCUCUUACUGAAUACCAAGGAGGAGCUACUAUUUAAAGAAAGAGGAAGAGGCAGUCUUUUCCCACCCCUACCCCCCUUGGAUUAUAAAACUGUAGCCCUCCUACUAAUCCUCCUUGACUGCCUGCUUGCCUCCCUCACAAGCGUCCUAUCUUAACACAUCUAUUUCUUGCCUAUCACUUUGUCUCUCACUGAAUUCCUUCCGUGUGGAGGCACAGAGAACCUGAACCUCAGGAAGUCCAGACACUGGGUGAGUGAUUCUAAUUUAAAAGCUGGGUUCAAGUCCCAGUCUGGGUUUAGGCUAGGUUCAAGUCCUGGCACGUGGGUUCUGGUCAGGUUCAAGUCUUUAGUGUUGUCAGUUUCAGCCACACCUUUGGCAUAUGGAAGUUCCUGGGCCAGGGAUAGAAUCUGAGCUGCAGCUACGGCAACACCGGAUUCUUUAACCCACUGUGCCAAGCUGGGGAU